rnacentral:lncRNA from 1 species
CCCGAAAGGGCGAUCCAGGCAAAAAUUAGAGACAUAAAAUAGAAAGAAAUUUCCCGAUAAGUUGAGUACUCCAUCUUGGGGCAACUUAUGCAAAAUUUAGGGAUCAUGGCAAGUAACUCCAUUCUGCUGAUCUUCAAUAUUUUGAAGACUUGUUUGAGCACAAGGGUUGACAUCAGUUCAUCAUCCCAGCAGCGGCCAAGAGUAUAAUGGAUAUCAAGAGUUGAUAGAAGGAUUAAGGAUCAUUUGUAUUCAAUGUAGCCUUUUCCAUGUAA